CCUACGGGGGGCAGCAGUGAGGAAUAUUGGUCAAUGGGCGAGAGCCUGAACCAGCCAAGUCGCGUGAGGGAGUACUGCCCUAUGGGUUGUAAACCUCUUUUGUCGGGGAGCAAAAGCCGGACGUGUCCGGCUGUGAGAGUACCCGAAGAAAAAGCAUCGGCUAACUCCGUGCGAGCAGCCGCGGUAAUACGGAGGAUGCGAGCGUUAUCCGGAUUUAUUGGGUUUAAAGGGUGCGCAGGCGGAUUUUUAAGUCAGCGGUCAAAGCGUGGGGCUCAACCCCAUCCAGCAGUUGAAACUGGGGAUCUAGAGUGUGCGAGAGGUAUGCGGAAUGCGUGGUGUAGCGGUGAAAUGCAUAGAGAUCACGCAGAACCCCGAUUGCGAAGGCAGCAUACCGGUGCACAACUGACGCUCAGGCACGAAAGCGUGGGUAUCGAACAGGAUUAGAUACCCCGGUAGUC
rnacentral:rRNA from 1 species